AGAGUUUGAUCAUGGCUCAGAUUGAACGCUGGCGGCAGGCCUAACACAUGCAAGUCGAGCGGGGUUUUCGGACCUAGCGGCGGACGGGUGAGUAAUGCGUAGGAAGCUACCCGAUAGAGGGGGAUACCAGUUGGAAACGACUGUUAAUACCGCAUAAUGUCUACGGACCAAAGUGUGGGACCUUCGGGCCACAUGCUAUCGGAUGCGCCUACGUGGGAUUAGCUAGUUGGUGAGGUAAUGGCUCACCAAGGCGACGAUCCCUAGCUGGUUUGAGAGGAUGAUCAGCCACACUGGAACUGAGACACGGUCCAGACUCCUACGGGAGGCAGCAGUGGGGAAUAUUGGACAAUGGGCGCAAGCCUGAUCCAGCCAUGCCGCGUGUGUGAAGAAGGCCUUCGGGUUGUAAAGCACUUUCAGCGAGGAGGAAGGGGUUGUAGUUAAUAGCUGCAAUCUUUGACGUUACUCGCAGAAGAAGCACCGGCUAACUCUGUGCCAGCAGCCGCGGUAAUACAGAGGGUGCAAGCGUUAAUCGGAAUUACUGGGCGUAAAGCGCACGUAGGCGGUUUUUUAAGUCAGAUGUGAAAGCCCCGGGCUCAACCUGGGAAUUGCAUUUGAAACUGGAAAGCUAGAGUGUGUGAGAGGGGGGUAGAAUUCCAAGUGUAGCGGUGAAAUGCGUAGAGAUUUGGAGGAAUACCAGUGGCGAAGGCGGCCCCCUGGCACAACACUGACGCUCAGGUGCGAAAGCGUGGGGAGCAAACAGGAUUAGAUACCCUGGUAGUCCACGCCGUAAACGAUGUCUACUAGCUGUUCAUGGUCUUGUACUGUGAGUAGCGCAGCUAACGCACUAAGUAGACCGCCUGGGGAGUACGGUCGCAAGAUUAAAACUCAAAUGAAUUGACGGGGCCCGCACAAGCGGUGGAGCAUGUGGUUUAAUUCGACGCAACGCGAAGAACCUUACCUACUCUUGACAUCUACAGAACUUAGCAGAGGAUGCUUCCGGUGCCUUCGGGAACUGUAAGAACAGGUGCUGCAUGGCUGUUCGUCAGCCU
rnacentral:rRNA from 1 species